rnacentral:lncRNA from 1 species
GUGGCUGUUUCCACAUUGGCAAAACAGGAGUUGGUAACCCAGAAGCCAUGCUGCGGGGUUAACAUCAGGGAACCGAUUCGUCCCAACCCAGAAGGAAGAGAAAGGUCAGGCUACAUACCCAAAAAUACCUUUUGCCACAGGCUUGGGACUACUAUCCUGUGAAUGUCAGCAAGCCUGUCCUCUACAGGGAUCCGUGGAGAAGAUAAACUCUACAAGAAACAGAAAAAUGUCUACCUGUCUCCAGAACCAUGCAGACUCCCUCCCCUUCAGGAUCUCCUAGCCCCUGAUGAAUGAACAGCACUUCCAAGAUGCUUGAGACACCGGGCACAGCUACUAUCAGUCAUGGCGCUCCCAACCUGCAGACAUUAUCAGUCUGCUGGACUGGAAAGAUACACGAACUGCACGCCCUUAAGCGGAGCUUCACCUCAUAAUAUUGGGAAAAGUAAGAGAAUCCUCUGACCUUCCAUAAACCCAGAAUCACCUGCACAGAACUUCCCUCCAUCAUUACUCAGAUUCCCAGGCCAGCGUUUUCCUUCCAUACCCAAACCUUCUCACAAGGAAGGUCGGCAGAAACAGAAUACAAACUCCAUAUUGCAAAGGUACAAUGGGUUCUCCCCCACCCCCGCUCCUUUUGUGCCACCCACUUAUGCCAUCCUUUUCCCACACACAACCACAUGGAAGGGUUUUCACUUUACUCUGUAACCAGCCUUCAUCAUAACCCAGUCUCCGUGCUCAGAACUAGAAAGACAGCCUUCUUAAUUCUCAGCGGAAUAUGGGCCUAACAGUGGUAGGACACCCCCCAGCUAUUCAAAGAAAAACCACCAGAGGAAAUAAUUUCAAAUCUGGCUUUACAAGCAUGUAAUAUAAAAAUAACUCUGCCUUUGUCUGCUAUAGAUGACUUUCCCUAAAGGGAUGGCUGUCCUUAAAGCAAUCGCUCAAUUCUCAUGGCAAACAGAUUCUUCUUUUUCCAGUACCCAGCACAUAUUCGUCCCUCCAGGAGAGCACCCCCACAUCCCACCUCUGACAGUAUCUAAAAUGCAAACAUUGAAGUCAUCAGAAUGACUCCUGUCAUCUCUGCUGGCCUAGGAACAUUCAGGACACUGCACCUUGGAUGACCGAGGAGCCCCUGCAGUUAGCUCUGGCCUCCAAGAACCACUACUCUUCCCUUCAUUAAGAUGUCAGCCCAGAAAGCUUGGUGAUCCCACAAUAGCCACAACAGGUUUUAAUGAAUCCCUGGAUUGUUUCUUGAAAGAAAACUGGAUUUCUUCAGAUAUUUGAUUCAUUCUUUGAUCAGACAGUUAGAGGAAUAGGGAUGGGGUGCUCAAGAUAAGAAAGGGGUUGGGGCAGUCAUGGUAAAUAGUAUGAGAAUUCACAAAAAUGGGCCAGGUUGUGGUGGCUCACGCCUGUAAUCCCAGCACUUUGGGAGGCCGAGGGGGUGCGGAUCACUUGAGGUCAAGAGUUUGAGACCAGCCUGGCCAACAUGGUGAAACCCCGUCUCUACUAAAAAUACAAAAAUUAGCCGGGCAUGGUGGUGAAUGCCUGUAAUCCCAGCUACUAGAGAGGCUGAAGCAGGAAAAUAGCUUGGACCCCGGAGGUGGAGGUUGCAGCGAGCCAAGAUUGUGUCACUGCACUCCAGCCUGGGUGAUGGAGCUAGACUCCAUCUCAAAAAUAAAUAAACAAAUAAGUAAAUAAAUAAAUAAAUAUUCACAAGAAUGCUCACCUUGUCAUUCCAAGACAUCCUUGGGGUAGACCUAGAAAUGCAUACUUUAUCAGCUCAUGGUUUCAUUGCCCUUCAACCAAACAAGAAGCACUAACACCACAACGGAGCAUAGCUCAAAAGAUGCAUGCUGAGUGAAUAGCCAAAAACAAUUGUUUGGUAAACUACUCUGCAAUUAUCUCCUGAUUAGCCUGAUGGCUUAGUUUUAUUAACUAAAGUGUAUAAUUAUGCUCUUAUUAAUAUUCUAUUUCUUCUUGGCAACCCAAUGUCCCCUGACCUUCUUAAAAGUUUUGCCAUAAAGCAUUGCAGGUAGUUUAUCCAUGCGUGUGACAGGGUCCUAAAGUAAGUCCAG